UAGUUGUUAACUCCACAAAUUUAAUAUAAAUAACUGGAUACUAAUUAAAUAGUUAAUGUAGAUUAGAGUUACCAUAGACAAAAGAUGUUUUGACAAAAUAAUCAUAGACAAAAACCGUUGCAUUCAGUUUUUGACAAGGUUUUGGGCUGGAAAACCUUGCUGGCAUCUGGCAACCCUGCCGGUCGACAGCUGACAUUAGGGCUGCUUCACGAUUGACACACCUCUCUGGCUACCAACCAAAGGGCCUCCAUGGUGUGGAAGGGCAGCUCCAAGGGCUCCGACAGUGGCUGUACCACAGACUCCGAUUGUCCACACCUGCAGGACUGGCGGAAUUGCCUAAACUCCUCCCGCAGGUCCUUCACCUCCUUGGACAGCUCUGUCACUGCACAUACCUUCAGGAGAUGGCCUCUGGAGUAAAUUCAUUGGAGAGAACACCAAUUCAUCUCCAGGGAACGAUGCUGGGACAUUGGGGGCAUGGUGGCUCUCCUCCUCAGACUGGAUGUCAGUGAUGUCACAAUCUUUAUUGAGAUAUCUGUCCAGGCUCCUCGCUGCCUCAUCAUGACUAUCUACAAACAUGGAAAAACAGUCAAGUACAGUCAGAGUCAGGAGAAA